ACCCCUUUGUGACAGACACAGAACAAAAAGAUGGUCCCUGCUGUUGUAAUAAAUGGGUCUACGCAUUUACCUGGAUUGUGAGCUCAGCUGUGAAAAGGGCCCUCUGUGAUGAAAGAAGUAACAUACAAAAGAUCCAGAGGGAGCGGUGAGUCAUCUCCACGGAAGGGAAGGUGACUGUGAUGUGGGACUCAGAGCUUGUGGAAACAGAAGAAAUGGGAGAUCAAUGUCUUCACCCAAAUGCAGCUAGAAAUCGCUUCAUACAGUAAACAAACUGUUUAUAA